rnacentral:rRNA from 1 species
UCAGUUCGGCUGGAUUUGGAUACAGGUGUUGCAUGGCUGUCGUUCAGCUCGUGUCGUGAGAUGUCGGGUUAAGUCCUUUUAACGAGCGCAACCCUCAUUGCAUGUUACUUUUUUCAUGCGAGACUGCCCUGGUUAACAGGGAGGAAGGCGGGGAUGACGUCAAGUCAGCAUGGCCCUUACACCUUGGGCUACACACGUGUUACAAUGGCCGGUACAAUAAGUCGCAAUACCGCAAGGUGGAGCUAAUCUAUGAAAACCGGUCCCAGUUCGGAUUGGGGGCUGCAACUCGCCCCCAUGAAGUUGGAAUCGCUAGUAACCGUAAAUCAGCAUGUUACGGUGAAUACGUUCCCGGGUCUU